AUUUUAACUUCUGAAAAGUAGUGAACGAGGGUGUAAUCUUCAUUGUUUUCUAUGUGGGAACCGAGCUAAUAUUUUUUUUUUCGUGAAUUUUCGUCCUUGAAUAUCACAUUUUUGGCGACAUUUCGGCUUGAAAACGCAUGUGACACGCGUUGAGCAUCAAGAAAUGCACACUGGGAAGCUGCUAAACGAGUUCCAAAAUGCUGAAUCUUGCAGCAAAAACGAAGAUUUUGUACUGCUUAUGUCUCGUCGAAGUCAAGAAACCUCCGAUCUCCAUUCACACCACGUUAUAAAGGACAUGGCAGGCAUUGCAUGCCCGCACUCGUCAUGCUCGUGGGAAGAAAUCUGACACCAUUCGGCGGCAUCACGCGGUCGUCGCCGGCCACCCGUGCCGGGAGUUCGAGCUCGAAACCCCACCACAAACAUCGCUUGUGACAGGCACCGCUUUGGAGUCGAGUUUUGGGUGUAAUAUGCGGCUGUAAAUGGAGAUGUUUUGAUUGUCGUUCCUUCUGAUGACGAUGCAGACCUUGGAAUCUACAUUACGAGACAUGAUGAAGAACUCUGUGAAGAAUAAAACUAUGGCCAGACUUGAACUGAAUUUAAAAAAUCCUUUUAUUUAAUAUACUUUAAAGAUUUUUAAUUAUUUUUCAAUAAUGGAGACUAGACAUGCAUUAAACAGAAAUGUAACCAUUAACAAAUGUACUCAGAAGUAGUCAGAAGAAAUCAAAAGUAAGUUUACCGACUUAGUCUUAGAAUAUAAUUACAUGGCUUCUGCUGACAACCAAGUACAUGUAUCAUCAAGCCAAUGCGAAACUAGAGACUUUAAUUGUUUAUUUAGACAAAAUAUCUCCUGAUUAAAUUGAAAUUGCAGUAUACAUGUAGUGAACAAAAAUUGCAGUAUGGUUAUAAGACAAAAAUGCUUGGGUCUAGUAACAUCGGCUGUUAUAUUGGAUUCGAAAUUAGGAUUGCAGCAAGGAUUUAAUUUUUCAUUCUAGUGAUUUUCGAAUAAAAGUGUUUUUUUUUACAAAUUAUUUUGUUGAAAAAACAAAAAGCAAAACACUAAAACUGGUCGGUGUUUAAAACUGAAAUUGAAACUAGGGCUUUCAAAAAGAAAGGGAUGGAAAGAGAAAAUUCAAUGAAAUAAUUAUAAUAAUUUAAAUGAGGAAUAGGUUUACUGAAUACCAUUGCUACUUUUCAUAAAUAAUGGAUUAUCUUGUAAUUUAACAGUCUACCAGGUGCAACAAUAAAAAAAUUCACGGAACUGCUUAAA